rnacentral:ncRNA from 1 species
UACCUGGUUGAUCCUGCCAGUAGUCAUAUGCUUGUCUCAAAGAUUAAGCCAUGCAAGUCUAAGUACGAGCUCUCGUACAGUGAAACUGCGAAUGGCUCAUUAAAUCAGUUAUGGUUCAUUUGAUCGUACAGUUUACUUGGAUAACUGUGGUAAUUCUAGAGCUAAUACAUGCGAGAAGCGCCGACCUCGCGGGAGGCGUGCAUUUAUCAGACCAAAAACCGGCCGCGUCUUCGGGCGC